rnacentral:tRNA from 1 species
GCACCCGUAGCUCAGCUGGAUAGAGCGCUGCCCUCCGAAGGCAGAGGUCGUGAGUUCGACUCUCGCCGGGUGCACCA